UACGAAGGGGGCUAGCGUUGCUCGGAAUUACUGGGCGUAAAGGGUGCGUAGGCGGGUCUUUAAGUCAGGGGUGAAAUCCUGGAGCUCAACUCCAGAACUGCCUUUGAUACUGAGGACCUUGAGUUCGGGAGAGGUGAGUGGAACUGCGAGUGUAGAGGUGAAAUUCGUAGAUAUUCGCAAGAACACCAGUGGCGAAGGCGGCUCACUGGCCCGAUACUGACGCUGAGGCACGAAAGCGUGGGGAGCAAACAGG
rnacentral:rRNA from 1 species